AUGAGUCCACCCCUAUAUGACAAGUCAGACUGUGCAUGCUCCACUGGGCUUCAUGUUCAAAGUGGCCAAGAUCAUGCCUAGACCACCUCUAUCAGAGUGAAGACAGCUUUGCAUUUUGGAAACAAUAUCUACCCAGGAAGCAAAUAAUGAAACAUUCAAUUUUCAAGGCUCUCCCAAUGGUAAUGGAUCCUGUUGGGAAAGCCCUCUGGACAUGUGCAGGAGAGGGUCAUGUGUGAUGAAAUGAGAAAGGACACAGCCAAUGAGGAGACCACUUCUGAAACUACCUAGACACAAACCAGAUUCAGGGGCCAUACGUCUCUUCUUGAAGUCACGUUCCCAAGCUCUCUGGGCAAUUGGGAAGUACAUUGAAGAAGCAUCAGUCAAUUACUGCUAGCGAAAUGUUUUGUAUAAACAGCAACUUCAAAGCACAUGGAAAUCCCAUAGGCCCACAGCUUGUUUUUUUUCAAACACAAGGGCCUUGCAGCCAUUAGGCUGACCUGUGUUAUAAAUGGCUCAGGUCCCGGGGUGAGGCUGCCCUUCUAUCUGAGGUCCCUCUGAUUGCGGUUUUCACCUCCAGAGCUGGGUCCACACAGCACAAAGCCAGAUGGAAACUCGGCAACUGCACUGACUCGGUGAGAGAAUCCACUCAGGAAGAGGCCAGUGUGCAUCAUGCAGGCCCCUGCUUGCUUUCCAGGAGGAAUCUGCACAAAGAAACUAGAGAGCUCUCACAUGCGCCAGCAUUGCCUGGGAUGUUUUUCAUCAUGAGGGAUCUGGUCGGUCUACUUGCAAGGAUGUCACCUUCCAGCAGAGAGGAGCCAUACCGGGUGCUUCCUUAUGAUGGAAACCUGGUCUGGGUUGCUCACCACUGAACCUCCUCACACCUGGAGCCGUGCCUAGCACAAGGAGCUUACGUAUCCUCAGAAGAGAAGAAACAGAGACGAUUGCUGUCUUCAUUUUAGAGACAAAGAACCCGAGGCGUAGAGAGCCAGGAAAUGGAGGUAAUGACUUCUGCCCUGGAGGACUACAUGGCAUCUUCUAUGUUGAAACCACUUUCAAAGUUUUCAAAACUAUACACCCAUCAUGUAUCACUAAUAUAGCUCGAUAUACUACGGAUCACAGUCCUGACUUCAACUGUUAGUGUAAUGUCUCAUCAACACUGAGAACACGUUAUGUGGUGUUUUACUGUCAUGAACGAAACCUAUUUCCCCAGAAAAACUGGCAGAUAUUAGCAUUAAUCUGAUUUUUCAAAGAAGUUAAUUAUUUCCCAGAAUAAGUCACUGUGACUUAUCAAAGGGCCUUGGUUGGUGGGAAGUAAAGCCCAGACUGCAUUCUUGAAGCUGCUAGCCUUUGCCAGCUCAUUGCAAAUUGAGCAACACUGAUGAACCCACAGUUAAUCUAUGGAGUCAAAUGCAACUGGACACAAAUGCCUGGGGAUUUUCCCUGUGAGAUUCUCUUGCCCUUCUGGUGAUGGUGAAGGACAGCACUACCCAUGGCAGGGGCGGUCACUAGUCUCUGGCAUUUACUUGACCUUAUGGCUGCCAUGAACACCAGGCACAGCCUUUGCAGGAGGCACUGCUGCCUUCAGCCUGCCUGGCCUGGGGGCGCAGAGAGGAAAGGGAUAUGGGCUUUUGCAAAAGGCCCCUAGAGCAAAGUCAGACUGAUGGCAAAGGCUUGAGUGCUCGAUGGGCGAGGGAGAUGCUUUCGCUUCAAUUUUCACUGAGUAAUGAGGCGUACUGAGCAAAAUACACUUGUCCUUGGAAUGUGAGGCACACACGUGGCAGGCAUAAAGUUAUAAAAAGGAGGAGCUCCUUAGUCUGCUGAACUUAAAGACUUAUCUUGCCUUCCUGCUGUUAAUUCUUUACAGAGACUUCCUCUUCUCCAUUUCCCAGGGUUCUCCAUGGGGAUGUGCUUGAGGGAGAAUGAGCAGUUUAAGAGAAAAGAAUUCCUCCAGAGUGGGUUGUGGAGAGCACUGGAGAAGGUCUGGGCUGGAGCUAGAGAUUUACCUUGGCUAAAGAUAAGAGUCUGUGGUGUAUAUACACAAUGGAAUACCAUUCAGCCUUGAAAAAGAAGGAAAUAUGUCAUCAGUGGCAACAUGGAUGAACCUAGAAGACAUGCUAAGUGAAAUAAGCCAGGUACAGAAAUACAAAUACUGCAUGACCUCACUUAUAUACGGAAUCUUAAAAAGUCAAACUCACAGAAGCAAAUGGCAGAAUAGUGUUUAUCAGGGACUGGGGGUAGGGGUGGGGAGAUGGAGAUUGAAGAGAAAAAAACCCUUUGAAAAUGAUCCAUCAGAAACACUCAUUUGUGAUUUCCCCACAAUUGUGGUGCUCCAGGGAACCUUAAUGAUCAGUUACUGAGCCCUUAUUAUCUUCCUGGCUUUGUGCUAAGCCUCACUCACGUUCCCAACAGUCCUAUAAGAUAUUUUAAGUAUUAUAAUCCCCAUUUAUAAGGGGCAAAUGGAGCUUGAAGCCAUGGAGUAUGUAGGGGAAGGCGUGCUGCUGGUAAGUAAUACAGCUUCAGCCUUCUCUGAUCCUGGGGCCCCUCUCAUCUGUGAGCUCCUGCUCCCGUGCCCCCUGCCCAUCUUCCCAGGCUGGGGCUAGGGCUUGUCAAGCUGUACCCCGCCAGGCGGGGAUAUACAGGCACCUCAGGAGCUUGUCUCCAGCUGUCUGGACGCCAGAUCCCUACUGCCCCAUUCAUAUCCUGAGUUCAACAGGUCAGCGUAGGGUGUCAUUCUCUAUUGCUACAUUUCCCAGGGAGCAGAGAUAGCAAAAUGUCUCAGCACAAAGAUUAUGUAUUUCACUAAGCAAUUAUAAUUUCAACUAAAAUCAGCUGGGCGCAGUGGCUCACACCUGUAAUCCCAGGACUUUGGG
rnacentral:lncRNA from 10 species